AUACACAAGAAGAGGAACAAUUUCCAAAGCCUUAACCAGUGGUGUCAGUAAUUAUUAUUACACUAUGUUAAGACAGACACCAGUAGAGGAAAUAAUGGCUGGUAACAUAAGCAGAAGCCUCACCAAAGACGUGUUAAAGAAAAUAUCCUCUGAAGUGAAGAAAAGUGCAAGGCUCCACGAUGACAUGAUGCUUGAACUCAUGUUGACUCAAAAAAUAAUCAAAGAGAGCAGCAGUCAUGCAUCAUCAAAAGGCUAUCUUCAGCACCUACAAAUUGAUCCGUUUGCUGUACAUUUAUACACAGAUGCUGGAAUAAAGAUAUUGACUGAGCACUUGAAAAAGCCAACACCUACGACUCUCUACCUUGAUGCCACAGGCAGCGUGAUACAGAAAAUUCCUGAUCAAAAUAAGCGGGUCUUGUAUUAUGCUUUGGUUUUGCCCGGAAUGGGUAAGGAUAAGCCUCCCUUGCCUGUCACAGAACUGAUCACCAACAGCCAUUCCAUUCCAUCUAUUUCCCAUUGGCUCAUGGAAUUUAAAAGAAAGUUGUCUUACAUAACAAAAAGAAAGAUAGCACAGGUUGAGACAAAUUAUAGUUGGGCUCUGAUAAACAGUGUGCUUCUGUCUUUUAACAGGGAAAAUAUGUCAGUGUACCUUGACAGAGCAUUUGAGAUAGUGUCUGGACAAACUGAACUGAUUCCUAACUUCACUGUGCUGCAUCUGUGCUCUGCUCAUAUCAUGAAGGCUGUGUCACAAGCAUUUGGGAAAAAAACUGUAGACAGAGGCACACAGGAAUAUGCAACAUUCUGUUUUGCGUACAUCCUGAACUGCACAAGUAUGCAGGAAGCCCUUAAUGUUUUUUAGCAUAUGUGUGUGCUUUUUGAUGCAGAGGAGUACACUUAUUCGGUGAAACAGAGCAAAAUGUACCUCGACAAGUGCAUUUUGCAAACUCGGGACUUGAAACUGGAGGAAAGUGGACAUGUAAUGGGAGAGGAGGAAAGCAAAAUGGAAACAAAUGCUCAUAGCAUUAUUGGAAAGUCCCCUUUUACACAAGCUUUUCAAGUCAGGUGGGACCAAGCAGAGUGUGACAUUCUCUCUGACGAUGCUGUUCAGGUAAAAAACCACUACCUCUGUCCUGGUGUCAUUGAUGCACUGUUCAAAAACUACAUGGGGAUCUUCCCAUUGUGGAGUGGUUUGUUGCUUGGGGAUCUGUCGCGACAUAGAAAAGGUACCUCAAAAAAAGAUGGAAGUCAUAAAACCAGGGAUACCAACUGCCAUGUUGAGCUCUGGUUUGGGUUGGUCAAACACUCCAUCCUUUUAAAAAAAAAGUACCUGAGACCAGCUGAGUUUGUCUCCAAAAUGUAUGCCUCAAUACAAGGAAGAUACGUAGAGCACAUUGAGCAACACAAUCUGCCAAUGCAUAUUCUGGACAAAAACUUUGGGCAUCCUAGCAGGCCAGAUGAUGACCACGAGGAACAGUGGAACAAGCGGGAAAGUUCUGCUGGUCACUCCAAGUCCAAGUCCAAGUACUUCAAUCCACCAAAAGCACUACCCAACCCCAAGAGCCCACCUGCCACAAAGGUGAAGAAAAGAAAAGUGGACCAACAGGAACAAGACGCACAGGGAAAUUUGACCUGGCUGUGGAAAAAAAAGGACACAGAGGUGGUCGUGGCAGUGCUCCCCUCACAGAUGAAAGGACGCAUCUUGCUUAUCCGCCACUGUGAGCUAUGCUCACUUCGACCCCACCAGUGGUUGACAGGGGAGGUAAUUGAAGGCGUGUUUCAUGUUGCUGCCGACAAAUUCGCCGUUCUGAACAAAAUGUACUUGCUAAAUCACUACACAGCAAGUGUCAUUUUGUUCGGGGACAGAACUCAGCUAAUAUCUCACAGUUUACCGAAGGUAAUGUGUGUGGUCUGUGUAUGUUUAUGUGUGUGGUGUGUUGUGUUUGUGCAUGGUGAUGCUGUAGGGGGAAGUAGGUGUGGAUUUGAUUUGUGGGCUCACACUCACACAUUAGGUACAUGGAGUGAAGCAUUGGCUGAGGUCUUAAAUAGGAAAUUAGCUGAGAUUAUUUUACUUUAUCCUCUCUGAAACUAUACUCAUUAGUUAAAUCACCUGAUAAAUCUACUUACUAUUGAAUUCCCAUACCAACACUUGUUUUAAGCACAACAAAUGAAUGGCACAAGAACAUCAUUGUCAGACUAAUGUUGUUGUUAUUUUUACCUUAGCCUUCAAGUUUGUUUUAAUCCUUUAUUUGAUGCCAUUAUAGGUCAACUUUGACAACUAUGAAGCUGUCCUGUCCUUUGUACUUGUCAACAACAACCACUGGAAGUUGCUGUACAUUCAUGCCAACACCAGCACCGUAUUCCUGGUGGAUCCAGCUCAAAGCAUAAAAGAGCUUGAUGACUCCGAACAUGCUGCCAAAAGAAUACAGUAAAUCAAAAUUCAAUAGAUAUUUGAAAAUUCAAGGAGUACUUCAGGAUGAGGAGGACACGCCACAGCAUAACAGACUGGGUGGAUGUUAAGUGGAAGGGAGGCGUUAUGGGCCACCCACUUCAAACGGAUGGAUGUAGCUGUGGUGUCGUUGUUGUGAAGAUGGCAAAGGCAGUCAUGGAGUCCUUCCCUCUGAUCCCGAAUGUGAAUUUCGAGUGUUCGAAGAAAUACAUGAAACGGGAGAGGAGAGAACUGGCUCUCGAAAUCCUUG